GAUUGUUUCAUCAAUCAAAUCUCAGGAAGUAGUUUGAAGAGGAGAAGGGAAGUCAUUUCUUCAAAUUAACUAGAAUAUAAUGAUCUACCUGAAGGUGGAGGGGAAGUAAGAUCACUAGAAAGCAGAAUUCUGCCAGACAACCACAGGACCCAAGAGCCAUUUAACAUGUCAUCAUGAGGCUCCAGUUCGACAAUGUCUGUGCAUCCUGCUGGAAGCAUGCAACUAUGGUUUGCAUGCCCUACUGAAGGACCCUACCGUGUGGAAUAGGUGGUUGUAGUUCGUUGGUCCCCAAUGGUGAUACCUUUUAUGGAGAAAGCACUUGGGAGACUUCCAAGAUGAUAUGGAGUCCAGACUGACGAGACAGGCUUGAUGCUGAUGUCUCUGAAUGGAUCAAGACCUUGCAUUCAGCAAUAUAAUUAUACAGUACACAUAUAUUUGAAGUCUGAAUCCCGUUUGGGUGAAAUAUCGUCAAUUGACAGACUUGUUGGGGAAUGUUUGGCGAGUUAGCUGGUUAGCCUAGCUAUAAACGUAGCUGGCUAGCUAACUUCAACGGCAAUAACAGAAACACUUAACCGCUAAAACAUAUGGACUCCUGUAGAAAUCUACCCAGUGGUGAGAAAAGCAUAGAGCUAAAUAUAUCAAAGAGAAAGUGCCAAUCCAAAGAUGGAUGAAAUUAAGCUGUGUAAUGAAAAAUAAAUUAAUAGUAAAGUUAAUGGCUUACGUGGAUAAAGCCAUCCAGGAUAAUCAUACAGUUUUGCUGACUCAACUGGAGAAUAAUAACAAGCAGCUACAUGACCACAUAGCUCUUGAAGUUGGACUUCUGCAGACUCGUGUAGAAUUCCUAGAAUCUUGGCGAGUAGGCGCUGCCAAAACAACUAAGUUCCACUAUCAUAGUUGCAGGACUGCCAGCUGAGGAAAACGAGGACCUAAUCUCCAAGGUGAACCAGCUGAUAUUGGUAGGCCGCAAAACAGAGUUGAUUGCAGUUGAGAGGAUGAGGGAGAGAGGUAAAGGUCGUGAAGGUGCGGUGUCAACCCAUGAAGGAAAAAGUGGCGAAUAACAAUACUAAAAUCCUUAAACCCAUACGUUAUCUCAAUAAAUGAAACCUUUGCAUUGGCAAUGUUACGGAUAUAGUUAUCCUGUGUGUGUGUGUGUUUCUUUUCUCUCCUUCUCCCCUCACAGGUGAAAAUCAUCACUCCCCAAUCAGUCAACAAUCAAUCAGAAGACACACCUCCUCCUAUUUCCUAACCUAUCACAGUUCCUUCUCCAUGGUUUAAAAACCCCAUCAUUUGUUUGUUCUAGAGCUCAAUCUCUCUGUAAAUGCCAUGUCUGUAGGUCUCUGUGGUUCACUCUCGCUUUGUGUCUUAACCUCUCUUUUGUUUAAACACCUCAUAGCACUUUGUCAUCACCUGUGAGUAUUGUUUUUGGUUAUGGUGUUUGUUUGUUGCUGGUGGGAAAAGGGGGAAACCAAGACAAGUCGCCCAUGGGCAUACACUACCCGUAGGUGAACUUUGUUAAAUACACUAGUUAGAACUGGGCGGACCACCCACUGUAUUUUUGGUUAGUUAGUUAGCUGUUGUUAAAGUAGGCUAGUCUAGCUUAGGGGUGUUUUUGAAUACUUAUUGUUUCUUUCCUUGGGUCCAGCUCAGCCCCUUUUCCUGCUCCCCCCAUUACCGUGUGUUUAUAAAUAAACCUGGAG